rnacentral:misc_RNA from 1 species
GAUGAAGAACGCAGCAAAAUGCGAUAAGUAAUGUGAAUUGCAGAAUUCAGUGAAUCAUCGAAUCUUUGAACGCACAUUGCGCCCGCUGGUAUUCCGGCGGGCAUGCCUGUUCGAGCGUCAUUUCAACCCUCAAGCCCCCGGGUUUGGUGUUGGGGAUCGGCUCUGCCCUCUGGGCGGUGCCGCCCCCGAAGUACAUUGGCGGUCUCGCUGCAGCCUCCAUUGCGUAGUAGCUAACACCUCGCAACUGGAACGCGGCGCGGCCAUGCCGUAAAACCCCAACUUCUGAAUGUUGACCUCGGAUCAGGUAGGAAUACCCGCUGAACUUAAGCAUAUCAAUAAGCGGAGGA